rnacentral:rRNA from 1 species
AUUGAACGCUGGCGGCAGGACUAACACAUGCAAGUCGCACGAGUGGCGGACGGGUGAGUAAUGUCUGGGAAACUGCCCGAUGGAGGGGGAUAACUACUGGAAACGGUAGCUAAUACCGCAUCCCAUCAGAUGUGCCCAGAGGGGAUUAGCGAGUAGGUUGGGUAACGGCUCACCUAGGCGACGAUCCCUAGCUGGUCUGAGAGGAUGACCAGCCACACUGGAACUGAGACACGGUCCAGACGCCUACGGGAGGCAGCAGUGGGGAAUAUUGCACAAGGGGCUAAAGCCUGAUGCAGCCAUGCCGCGUGUAUGAAGAAGGCCUUCGGGUUGUAAAGUACUUUCAGCGAGGAGGCGUUACUCGCAGAAGAAGCACCGGCUAACUCCGUGCCAGCAGCCGCGGUAAUUC